AUUGAACGCUGGCGGCAUGCUUUACACAUGCAAGUCGAGCGGCAGCGCGGGGGCAACUCUGGCGGCGAGCGGCGAACGGGUGAGGAAUACAUCGGAACGUACCCCGGAGUGGGGGAUAACNCCGCGAAAGCGGCGCUAAUACCGCAUAUGCUCUGCGGAGGAAAGUGGGGGACUCGCAAGGGCCUCACGCUCUGGGCGCGGCCGAUGUCCGAUUAGCUAGNGGUGAGGUAAUGGCUCACCAAGGCGACGAUCGGUAGCUGGUCUGAGAGGAUGAUCAGCCACACUGGGACUGAGACACGGCCCAGACUCCUACGGGAGGCAGCAGUGGGGAAUUUUGGACAAUGGGGCAACCCUGAUCCAGCCAUACCGCGUGCGGGAAGAAGGCC
rnacentral:rRNA from 1 species